CCCCCUCAAGCCCCGCGCUGUCCUCGGCCCGGCGUGGCCUGCGAGACUGGUGCGGGUGCCUCCGGGCUCUGACCGUUCCGCGGCGGAGGUUGCUCUGCAAAAGGGGAGUUACCUGUGAUGAGAAGUAGUAAGAGCUUAUUGGUAUACUGUGCAAAUGAAGAAAGAUGAAGAAGUGAAGACUGCUCUCACGGUCCUCGUCCAUGAAUCAUUUAAGUCGACGUUUGGAUGCGUUUCCCCCCAGACACGUGCGCGGCGCGCGGAGCAGGUGAAGGCGAACCGUGGGUGUGGUCAGGGGCCGCGCUCCGCAGGGAAGGCUGAAGAGCUGGGAGGGCCGGGGAGACGCCUGAGGGGAUGACAAGCAGUCCAGGCUCGGCAGCCGUAGAGCGAAGGCUGGACGGGGAGGAAAGUAUCGGAAGUAGUAGUUUAAAUGUGUCAACAUUUUACCGGCAGACCAAGCUUGGGGGUUCUAGGAGCCACCACGGGGUAGAGAAAUAGAAAGAAUUACAAGAGUCCGCCUGUAGAAACGUGUCAUCCCGGGGGAAGGAAGCGGCCGGGGGAAGUGGCUGCCUGCUCGCCGGGAGCCGGAGUCCUCCGGGGAAAGAAGUGAGGGGGACCAGACCCCCUGGGAGGACGCCUGGCUCAGAUCACGGAUUCUGCCAAAACGGGAAAGUGGAGGAGCCUCUUCCGAGACGCCAAGGUCUCAGCGGGUUUGCUUAUCAGGAAAAGGCAUUCUAGAGGGGGUAGUGGUAAAGUUUAGGAUGGAGACGGUGGAAGCUUGCGUCAGGGGAGCAAAAGUACAGGGAAAAAAAAAAAACUAAAAAUGAGGCUGUAGAAAAUCCCUUUGGAUUUUGGCCGGGAAUGACAAGAAUGUGAGGUAUGGUAAGAUUAGCAGGCUGGAAAGGUUUUUAAAUGAUUGGUCCCAGCUGUCCCCUGACGGAUUGCACAGAAACCUGCCAAGAGAAGUGGCGAAAUGACCUUUUUCAACCGUAAAUAAGAUUGUAUUGCUACUUUAAGAGGUGGACCCCACCUCUUAUGAUAACUGAUAACAACUAUAACUUUUUUGAAGGUCAAAGACACUCAUAUCCAAAGAAAGUGCUCACUAUAAAAGUCCGAUCAAAAUAUAUUGAUUAUAAAAAUACCAAAAGUUUAAAAAUUAUUUUAAUUCAAUUUAAAUAAAGACAGUAAACAGAUCAGUGGUUGCCAGAGAUUAUCAGAGUGGAAGUGAAGUGUUGAAUUAGGUGGAACAGUGGAUUUUUUAAAAUAGACUUUAGUUUUUAGAAUACUUUCAGGUUCACAGCAAAAUUGAGCAGAAAAUAGUUCCCGUAUGUACCCAUACUCCCACACAUGCACAGAAUCCUCCACUGUCAACGUCCCAUACCAAAGUGGUACCUUUGUUAUGAUCAGUGAACCUACAUUGACACGUCAUUAUCACCCAAAGUUCAGGCCUGGUGGCUAAGUUACCCUGUAAUCCAGCACUUUGGGAGGCCGAGGCAGACAGAUUAUUUGAGCUCUGGAGUUCAAGACCAGCCUGGGCAACGUGGCGAGACCACCGUCUCUACUAAAAAUACAAAAUACAAAUACAAAAAAAAAAUGUCCCCAGGAGUGGUGGUGGAGCUGAGAUUGUGCCACAGCACUCUAUCCUGGGCAACAUUAUGUCAAAAAAAAAAGGGGGGGGAGACAUUAUCUCAAAACAUUCUUGGUGUUUCAUUCUAUGGGUUUUGGCAAAUAUAUAAUGACAUGGAUCCACCGUUACAGUAUCACGCGGAAUAGUUUGACUGCCCUGAAAAUCCUUAGUGCUCCUGUUCAUCCGUUUCUUCUGAGAACACCUGGCAACCGCUGGUCUUUCCACUGCAUGGUUUUGACUUUUCUAGAAUGGCAUAUAAUGGGAAUCUGGGAGUGGCUAGCCUUUUCAGAUUGCCUUCCUUUAUAGUAAUGUGCAUUUACGCUUUCUCCAUGUCUUGUCUUGAUAGUUCAUUUCUUUUUAGUGCUGAAUAAUAUUCCAUUGUCAGGCUGUAACAAUGUUUAUUCAUUCACCAACUAACAGGCAUCCUGGUUGUUUCUGUGUUUAGGCAAUUAUCAGUGAAGCUCCUACAAACAUCUGUGUACAGGUUUUUGUGUGGACAUGUUUGCAACACCUUUGGAUAGAUACCAAGAAGCAUGAUUGCUGGAUCAUAUAGUAAGAGAGCCAAAAAUGGAAGAUAUUUGUGUUCCAUAUGAAUGCCCACCCAAGGGUGACAUCUGCAGAGAAGAAUUUUAAUAAUAGGAUAGAAAAACAUGUUCUGUGGAUGCCAGGCAGUCUCUUUCUGUAGCCAUCCUCAUUGUGCCCAGUGAGUUCAUGAACAAAGCAGCCAUGGUGUCAGGGAUGGAGGUUACACUUGGGUUCAGCAACAUGGACAUCCACCCACUAAGGCCAACCUGGCUACACCCACCACUGGGUGCCCAAUCUGUCAGCGGGAGAGACCGACAUUGAGGCUUCAGGAUGGCACCAUUCCCCAGGACAAUCAGCCAGCUACAGGUGGCAUGGUGGUUACGUUGGACUCCUUCCAUCAUGGUAGGUCGGUAUUUUGUCCUCCCUGGAGUGGACACUUAGUCUGAAUAUGGAUUUGCUUUCCCUGUACACAAUACCUCGGCCAAAACUUAUCCAUGAAUCCACAGAAUGCCGUAUUCACCACUGUGGUAGAUUCCACAAAGCAUUGCUUCUAUCCUAUUCAGCCUGUUCUAUUCUACUCACUGUUCUCUUCUGCCUACUGCUUCAGGAUGGUGGGGAACAUGGUAAGACCAGCGACUUCCAUGAGCCUGUGCCCAUCGCUGCACUUUUUUUUUGCUGUGAAGUGAGUGCCUUGAUCAGAACAGUGAAAUGGCCUUUUGAAGACUCAGAUACAGUGUCAGGCUAAGAGGGGAGCUGCUGUGUUUUCUCGGAUGAUUAGUGCUGGCUACCGGGGGAAAACUGGGCUGCUGCUCCCCCACGGAGGUGCAGAGGGAAGGAACUGGGAGCACACAGCAAGAAAGUGGCCGUUCACAAGCUAGGAUCUGACCCUGCUGGCACCUUGAUCUUGGACUUCCGGCCUCCAAAACUGUGAGAAAAAAAUAAGUAUCCGUUGUUUAAGCCACCAUCUGUGGCAUUUUAUUACGACAGCCCGAGUAGACUACUACAGACGCUAUGUUGCUUCUGAGGCUAUGUUUAAAAAGGCCAUGCAAAUAAACAGGCUGGGCAGCUUCCCAGAGCUGGGAGUUCUCUGGGAACACUGGCGUUAGGGCUGGGAGGCCACUGCAGACACUACAAACGGAAGUCCUGGUUGGCCCAGUCUUCAGCCGCCCAGCCCCACUGCUGGCGCGUGAGUGGGAGGGCCACUGGGGACAAGCUGUGCCCGACAUUGGCAAUCGUGGGGCAGAUAAGAGCUCUCUGCUAUGCCCCUUCUCAGUUCCUGACCACAGGCGGAAUUGAUGGGCAUGAAAAAUGCUGGCUGUAUUUCACCAACGUAGGGGGAUUUUUCUAGUCACACUGGAUAAACUGGAACAAUGGUGUAUGAGCAUUUUUGGAGGAGUCUCUUUUGGGAACCUAUUCGUUUCUCUCCCCAUUAAGUACGUAAGAAGGGAUUUCUAGGUUGAAGAUUAAAGUUGUUAUAAAUAUUUGCUCUAGUUCUCCCACAUGGCUGUCCUAUUUUAAACUCCCCACAGCCAUGUGCAAGAGCUUCCGUCACCCACGUCUUUGCCAACAUUGGUGUGAUCAUCUUUUCGAUGUUAACCCUCCCAGUGAGUGUGAAAGGACGUCUCAUGGUCAUUUUAUUUUCAGUCCUUUGAUUGCAAAUGAUGUUGAGCAUCUUUUCAUUUGCUUACUGGCUAUUCGUAUAUUGUCUUUUGUGAAACAUGUAUUCAAGUCUUUUGCCCAUUUUUAAACACUGUGUUGUUUCUCUUUUUUUAGUUCAUUUGUGGGAAUUCUGUAUAUAUUCCAUAUACAAUACAUUUGUCAGAUAAAUGAGCUGUGAAUAUUUUUUCCCGGUCUCUGUGACGUUAGUAGUUUUCAAAGCUCCACAGAUGACUCCGGCAUGUAGCCAAGGUUGAGACCGUUGGCCUAGUGCUUUUUUCCUCCUUUUCCUGGAAGGACAAAACUGGGGUCCAGUAUGGAGGUUGGGAAUCAAAUCGCCUGGCUUUGACUUGGCUCCAACACUUGCCUACCAUGUGACCCUAGGCAAGUCACUUAAAAUGACCUAAAAUGACUUCUUACCUCCAUUUUCUCACCUCUAAGAUGGAGUUGAGAAUCGGGCUCUGGAAAGACUGUUUUAAUAAUUAAGUGAUCUUAAGCAGAUGUCUCUGCUGCCACUACAUGCACAGAUUAUGAUAUCUGCGGGACAGUAUCAGGUUUCAACUUAAAAUUUCUCAUAGUUACGGAGAAUAUCUUCUAUUUUAGGCAGAAUUUUCAGAUCACCAAUAUUUGCCAUAGAUAAAAGACUAGGAGUGUGGGGGUUAUUAUAACGCUUUAGAUACAUGCGGAAAUUGUACAAAAUAAUAUCUCCAUGGGGUAUUUAUUUGUUUUUUAAUGCCUUGUACUUCAAGUGAAAGAAAGGCGUGGAGGACAGAAACAGUGCAGGCAGCAAGGGCUGGCAGUAGCACGGAGUCUGGCAUUGCAGAUAUCCUAAAUGCAAAACUUCAAGGCUGAAAUUGGCACGAGACGUGUCACAUAUUCAGCAAUCCUAAAUCAGUUCACUCUCAUACUUGGAUUAUCUGAGAAUCAAGGCUCAUGUCUGCAAGCAACUGUCUAAGCCUGCGACAACAGAAAGCUUUAGGUAACAUCAACCCAGGAAUCGAAUCCACACUAAACGUAUGUGACCUUAUCAUCAUAGUGCUUUAAUCAGAGUGAUGUACAUUUAUAGAAUGCUUUCAUAUAUUUAUUUUAGGCUGAUUUAUAGCAACUGUGUAAGGAAAUACUGGAAGAGAUUAUUAGGAUCAUCUCAAUUUUGCAGAUAAAGAAGCUGAGGCUCAGAGGUCACAUGGUUAGUAAGGCUCAGAGCUGGCACAAGAAGCCAGAUCUUCCAACUCCAAGUCCAGCACCUUUGCACACCACACCAGGGCUUCUCAAACUGCAGUUCACUUCUACAGCUCACCUGGGGGUCUUGUUAAAAUGCAGAUUCUCACACAAUAGGUCUGGGAUGGGGCCAAGUGCUUCUUUUUCUGAUGAGCUUCAGGUAGUGCUGAUACUGAUCCAUGGAUCAUGUUGUGAGUGGCCAGGCACUACACCACGCUCCAUUUCAAUCAAUCAACUAGUCAUAUGCCUGGUUCUUCAAUAGUUGUCAUUAUACACUGCUGACUGCAGAACAAAAAUCACUUCCACGUUGCCUUUCAGCUAGGUAUCACCUUCCAAGGGUGAGUCCCACUGACGAGCCCAACUGCAGCUUUGUUUUCCUUAGAUGUGCUCCCCUUUUCCCAGGAAUGUCUAGAGGAGACAAAGCCAAAGACUGCAUCCAGGUGAACAAAGGUCCUUUCCCCAGGAAGCUUCCUACCCUAAUGUUCUUCAAGGGAAGUGAUUGGAGAAACGGUUGUGAGUCAGACUUUUCCUCACAAGAGUUCUGUCCUGGCAGAAAGAGAAAUCAUACAGAAAAUGUCCUUGGCAGCUGGGUGCCCUGUCUCCCCUGUGCCUCCACAGCUCUGUCUACGCUACGUGGAGAAGGGCACCUUCAGCUCCUGAGUGCAACACAGAGAUGGGAACAAACCAAGCCAUUAGCACAAGAAGGGCCAGGACAGCUAAAUUUAGCUAAUUGAACGUCCAAGUUUUGGGAGAAAGAUUAUGGAGUCUGGGCUUCUUUCCCUUUGGCCCAUCUUUAGAACGGGAGGAUGCUCCUUCUUCAGUCCCCUGAGGUUUUCCUGCACCGAGCUCUUGCAUACAACAAGAAUAGCACUAGGCCAUAGAGAAUAAUUUGCCAGGCAAUUAUUAAGUGUUUUCCGAAAGUGAUGUUGCUUUGCAAAAUGUUUUAAAAUAAAUUGGAUGUGCAUUUCCACUUAGAGAUGAAGAGAAGCAUAUCACUUGGCUUCAUUUAAUAAUGAUUUAGAUGAUGGUAAGAAGAGCAAGUAAAUUCAAAUGAGAUUAUUGAUUUUCAUGAUGAUAAAUUAGAAUCCAACAAAAAUAAAUGACAGAUAUUUUUCUAUGUGAAUACGUUUUA